UUAACGUUUCUUCUAGAUCUGCCACUGAUCAUAAGAGAGUGAAGAGAAACCUGUAUAAAAUCUCCAGCGUUCAAUACAAGAGCUCCCGGUAUAGGAGGAACAUCAGUCCACUGAUUCUUAUAAAAGAUCUUAAGGCCACCAAUAUAAUGUUGUAGAAGAAUUGUGAUGAAACUAUUGUCGGUGUGCUCUGGGGUACCUAUCGUUAAUUCAGGUUGUGGACAAGAAGGAUAGUAAUGACCAAGAACAGCAAGCUCGUUCGCGCAUCCCAUAUCCAGAAGGUGAUUCGCAUCAAGCCUAAGAGCUUCGGACAUUAACUCGAAUAAACAAACCCCGAGUUUCAUCACUUGUUUCGAGUACUCCAACAAUAUAUCUCUACAACAAUAAUAUCCAAUUAGUAAGUUAAACUAUUAACUGGAUAGAUUAAAUAGUAGAACCUGCAAGGUGGUGGCAACUCGUGUGGUUCAGGAGGGUUAGGAGCCAUGGUGCAGU